UACGGGGGGGGCAAGCGUUGUUCGGAAUUACUGGGCGUAAAGGGCUCGUAGGUGGCCCCAUAAGUCAGACGUGAAAUCCCUCGGCUCAACCGAGGAACUGCGUCUGAGACUGUGGGGCUUGAAUCCGGGAGAGGGAUGCGGAAUUCCAGGUGUAGCGGUGAAAUGCGUAGAUAUCUGGAGGAACACCGGUGGCGAAGGCGGCAUCCUGGACCAACACUGACGCUGAGUGAGCGAAAGCCAGGGGAGCAAACGGG
rnacentral:rRNA from 1 species